AGAUUGAACGCUGGCGGCAGGCUUAACACAUGCAAGUCGAGCGGUAACAGAGAGUAGCUUGCUACUUUGCUGACGAGCGGCGGACGGGUGAGUAAUGCUUGGGAAUAUGCCUUUGAGUGGGGGACAACAGUUGGAAACGACUGCUAAUACCGCAUAACGUCUACGGACCAAAGGGGGGGACGCUUCGGCACCUCUCGCUCAUAGAUUAGCCCAAGUGAGAUUAGCUAGUUGGUAAGGUAAAGGCUUACCAAGGCGACGAUCUCUAGCUGGUUUGAGAGGAUGAUCAGCCACACUGGGACUGAGACACGGCCCAGACUCCUACGGGAGGCAGCAGUGGGGAAUAUUGCACAAUGGGCGAAAGCCUGAUGCAGCCAUGCCGCGUGUGUGAAGAAGGCCUUCGGGUUGUAAAGCACUUUCAGUUGUGAGGAAAGGUGGACGUUUAAUAAACGUUUACUGUGACGUUAGCAACAGAAGAAGCACCGGCUAACUCCGUGCCAGCAGCCGCGGUAAUACGGAGGGUGCGAGCGUUAAUCGGAAUUACUGGGCGUAAAGCGUGCGUAGGCGGAUUGUUAAGUGAGAUGUGAAAGCCCCGGGCUCAACCUGGGAACUGCAUUUCAAACUGGCAGUCUAGAGUAUUGUAGAGGGUGGUGGAAUUUCCAGUGUAGCGGUGAAAUGCGUAGAGAUUGGAAGGAACAUCAGUGGCGAAGGCGGCCACCUGGACAAAUACUGACGCUGAGGCACGAAAGCGUGGGGAGCAAACAGGAUUAGAUACCCUGGUAGUCCACGCCGUAAACGAUGUCAACUAGCUGUCUGUAGACUUGAUCUGUGGGUAGCGAAGCUAACGCGAUAAGUUGACCGCCUGGGGAGUACGGCCGCAAGGUUA
rnacentral:rRNA from 1 species